rnacentral:lncRNA from 1 species
GAGAUUAACAGAUCGGCAUCGAUGGUGUUCUCUCCGAUGCGUCGUUCAUCGCCGUCGUCGUCACCGGAGCUAUAGGGAAUUCUUAAUAUGCAAAAAGUGAUUACGUUGUUGACUGAAUUGUGUUUCGGUGUCGCAGCUACUAGGAAUAUUGUAUUUGCCUUUAUAUAAAACUUGAUUAUGAAGAAAAUUCAUCUCUCCAUAUUUGCAGACUAACCAAACUUUCCAGAUACAAGAAUACAAGGUGAUGUUUUUAAGGUGAUUUGAGAUUUGAACCUGGCAACUUUGUCACCCGAUUGUUUCUUCAUCCAAUCCCAAAUAUAUCUUCAUUCUUGUUUGUUACUGAACUAAAAAAGAAUUUUAGUCAACUGUUGCGU